AUUGAACGCUGGCGGCAGGCUUAACACAUGCAAGUCGAGCGGGGACUUCGGUCCUAGCGGCGAACGGGUGAGGAAUGCUUGGGAAUCUGCCUUGUAGUGGGGGAUAACGUUUCGAAAGGAACGCUAAUACCGCAUACGCCCUACGGGGGAAAGGGGGGGAUCUUCGGACCUCUCGCUAUAAGAUGAGCCCAAGUCGGAUUAGCUAGUUGGUGGGGUAAAGGCUCACCAAGGCGACGAUCCGUAGCUGGUCUGAGAGGAUGAUCAGCCACACUGGAACUGAGACACGGUCCAGACUCCUACGGGAGGCAGCAGUGGGGAAUAUUGGACAAUGGGCGAAAGCCUGAUCCAGCCAUGCCGCGUGUGUGAAGAAGGCCUUCGGGUUGUAAAGCACUUUAAGCGAGGAGGAAUGGCUCUGGGUUAAUACCCUUGAGCAGUGACGUUACUCGCAGAAUAAGCACCGGCUAACUCUGUGCCAGCAGCCGCCGUAAAAC
rnacentral:rRNA from 1 species